UACGAGGGCCCCAAGCAUUAUCCGGAUUUAUUGGGCGUAAAGCGUCCGUAGGUGGUUUAUCGCAUCUCCUGUUAAAUCUCGAGGCUCAACCUCGAGUCAGCGGGAGAGAUGGACAAACUAGAGAUUGGAAGAGGCAAACGGAAUUGCUGGUGUAGGGGUUAAAUCCAUUAAUAUCAGCAAGAACACCAAAUGCGAAGGCAGUUUGCUAGGACAAAUCUGACACUCAGUGGACGAAAGCGUGGGGAGCGAAUGGG
rnacentral:rRNA from 1 species